AGCAUGCCGGUCGUUUAUGAGAAAUAUAAGACUCAGAUCGACCAUUAUGUCGGGAUCAUCCGGGAUCAAACCAACUCUGCUGUUACAAAGAUCCAAGCAAAGCUGCCCGGCACCGUGAAGAAAAAGGCCGAAUAACCUCCGCCAGCCACCAAGAGACCCAGCCAUUAAUUGAAAUCCACACCAACAACGAAAAUACUCCCCUUGUGUCAUGGCUAUAAUCACUGUUACUCGUAUCUAUGAAGGAACUUGCCAAG